CCGAGUUUACAACUCCCGAAACCCAUGUGAACAUACCUACUGUUGCUUCGGCGGGAUUCAGCCCGGCUCCCGUGUAACCCGGGAUCAGGCCCCGCCAGAGGACACUUAAACUCUUGUUUUAUAUUGUAAUCUUCUGAGUAGUUUAAACAUAAAUAAAUCA
rnacentral:misc_RNA from 1 species